rnacentral:rRNA from 1 species
CCUACGGGUGGCAGCAGUAGGGAAUCUUCCACAAUGGACGAAAGUCUGAUGGAGCAACGCCGCGUGAGUGAAGAAGGGUUUCGGCUCGUAAAGCUCUGUUGGUAGUGAAGAAAGAUAGAGGUAGUAACUGGCCUUUAUUUGACGGUAAUUGCUUAGAAAGUCACGGCUAACUACGUGCCAGCAGCCGCGGUAAUACGUAGGUGGCAAGCGUUGUCCGGAUUUAUUGGGCGUAAAGGGAGUGCAGGCGGUUCAAUAAGUCUGAUGUGAAAGCCUUCGGCUCAACCGGGGAAUUGCAUCAGAAACUGUUGAACUUGAGUGCACACAGGGAGAGUGGAACUCAAUGUGUAGCGGUGGAAUGCGUAGAUAUAUGGAAGAACACCAGUGGCGAAGGCGGGUCUCUGGUCUGCAACUGACGCUGAGGCUCGAAAGUGUGGGUAGCGAACAGGAUUAGAUACCCGUGUAGUC